rnacentral:rRNA from 1 species
CCUACGGGCGGCAGCAGUGGGGAAUAUUGGACAAUGGGCGAAAGCCUGAUCCAGCCAUGCCGCGUGUGUGAAGAAGGCCUUCGGGUUGUAAAGCACUUUCAGUGGGGAAGAAAGCCUUGGGGCUAAUACCCUCGAGGAAGGACAUCACCCACAGAAGAAGCACCGGCUAACUCCGUGCCAGCAGCCGCGGUAAUACGGAGGGUGCGAGCGUUAAUCGGAAUUACUGGGCGUAAAGCGCGCGUAGGCGGUCUGAUAAGCCGGUUGUGAAAGCCCCGGGCUCAACCUGGGAACGGCAUCCGGAACUGUCAGGCUAGAGUGCAGGAGAGGAAGGUAGAAUUCCCGGUGUAGCGGUGAAAUGCGUAGAGAUCGGGAGGAAUACCAGUGGCGAAGGCGGCCUUCUGGACUGACACUGACGCUGAGGUGCGAAAGCGUGGGUAGCAAACAGGAUUAGAUACCCUGGUCGUC